rnacentral:piRNA from 1 species
UGCAAAGACCCCAGGCUUGAGUGCAAAUC